CCUACGGGAGGCAGCAGUGGGGAAUAUUGGGCAAUGGGCGCAAGCCUGACCCAGCAACGCCGCGUGAAGGAAGAAGGCUUUCGGGUUGUAAACUUCUUUUCUCAGGGACGAAGCAAGUGACGGUACCUGAGUAAUAAGCCACGGCUAACUACGUGCCAGCAGCCGCGGUAAUACGUAGGUGGCAAGCGUUAUCCGGAUUUACUGGUUGUAAAGGGCGUGUAGGCGGGAAAGCAAGUCAGAUGUGAAAACCAUGGGCUCAACCUGUGGCCUGCAUUUGAAACUGUUGGUCUUGAGUACUGGAGAGGCAGACGGAAUUCGUAGUGUAGCGGUGAAAUGCGUAGAUAUUGGGAGGAACACCAGUGGCGAAGGCGGUCUGCUGGACAGCAACUGACGCUGAGGCGCGAAAGCGUGGGGAGCAAACAGGAUUAGAUACCCGUGUAGUC
rnacentral:rRNA from 1 species